rnacentral:rRNA from 1 species
UACGAAGGGGGCGAGCGUUGUUCGGAAUUACUGGGCGUAAAGGGCGCGUAGGCGGCCCUCUUUGUCGCGUGUGAAAGCCCCGGGCUCAACCUGGGAAUGGCAUUUGGGACUGCAAGGCUGGAGUUUGGCAGAGGAGACUGGAAUUCCUGGUGUAGCAGUGAAAUGCGUAGAUAUCAGGAGGAAUACCGAUGGCGAAGGCAGGUCUCUGGGCUAUAACUGACGCUCAUGCACGAAAGCGUGGGGAGCAAACAGG